AGAUUUUCUUUAACCUUGUCAACCUUGUUUGUUGCAAGAAAAAUUAAUAAAUCUCUACUGUUAAAAAGCUACAGCUUCUAAAAUUAAAUGAAUAAUAUUUUGAACAUCAAGACCAUUAUUUUCACCACACUUUGUUUUCCGUGGGACUUUUUCAAGGAGCAACUUUCUAUGCGUAUGAGCAUAGCUCGUCUUUGACGUGAUUUGAAUUCUUUAGCACGUUCCAGGCUGUUUCACGCGGUUUCAUUUUUACAAUGAUGGUUGCUCCAAGAGUACUGCGGUUACGUAUACAGUAUACUAUAAGACCAGCGCAGAUGAACUUAGCUCAUGCGUAAAUAUAAGCAGGGGAACAGGCAAAAUACUUUUAAUAAAAACGCUGUUGACAUUGGUACUGUUUAGCUAAAACACUGUUGUCAUUGGCGCCUUCCAGACGACUUUACAAACCCUAAGCGGAGCAACGAAGUUGCGUGAGCGGGACAGAGGACCGAAAAAGUAAAGUUAAAAUCCUGAGAACCCGCGAGGCGGGCCAGACAAGGUACUGUUAACCUUAAAAGACUGUUGAUAUUGGCGCCCGCCAGACGUUUUUAGCGGAGCAACGAAGUUUCCUGAGCUGGAAAGAGGUCCCAAAAAGUAAAAUUAAAAUCCUGAGAACCCGCGACCAGGCAAAGUACUUUUCAAAUAUCUAAUAAAAGCUUUUGACAUUGGCGUCUGCCUGGCGAAGUAUCUAGUGUUUUUUCUUGGAGAUACACAAUGCUCUCAACUUACUCUUAAUAUCAAAAACCUUUUUAAUGGUGUCACUGUAAUGCCAAAUUUAUCGAAAACCGUUAACAAUUAAAAAUAUGAUAAAGAAGUAGUUUUCGUGUUUUUCGAUUUUCUCAAAAACUUUAAGGCAUAGAAACAU